ensembl:lncRNA
GGAUGAAGCAACUGAUCACAUCGUCUCGUCUAAAGAUGUUACGUACAAAACUCAAAUCUUAUAUUAUAUGAUCAAAAUACAGUUUGUUUCGAAUUAUGUGGAUGUGUGAGCAGACGCUUAGGCCAUUGUUUAUAAUUGAGGUCCCAUUACCGAAACUUGUGGCGUGAUAUAUCGAUAUAUCGGACAAUUAAUCAGUGAAAUUCAUACUGGGAGAUAUUUCAGAUAUAUCACACUAACACCGUUUUAAAUAUAUCUGAUGAAAUAUCGGAUAUAUCAGAUAAUCAUGGUGGAAUAUAUCGGACGAUAUAUCGGACAUAUCAGAUAAUCAUGGUGAAAUAUCAGAUGAUAUAUAUCGGACAUAUCAGAUAAUCAUGAUGAAAUACAUCAGAUGAUAUAUCGGGACAUCAGAUAACCAUGGUGAGAUAUAUCGGACGAUAUAUCGGACAGCAGAUAAUCAUGGUGAGAUAUAUCGGACGAUAUAUCGGACAUCAGAUAAUCAUGGUGAGAUAUAUCGGACGGCAUAUCAGACAUAUCAGAUAAUCAUGGAGAAAUAUAUCAGAUGAUAUAUCGGACAUAUUAGAUAAUCGUGUUGAGAUAUAUCAGACGAUAUAUCGGACAUAUCAGAUAUUCAUGGUGAGAUAUAUCAGACGAUAUCUCGGACAUAUCAGAUAAUCAUGGUGACAUAUAUCAGACAAUAUAUCGGACAUAUCAGAUAAUCAUGGUGGGAUAUAUCGGAGGAUAUAUUGGACAUAUCAGAUAAUCAUGGUGAGAUAUAUCGGACGAUAUAUCAGACAUAUCAGAUAAUCAUGGUGAGAUAUAUCAGACGAUAUAUUGGACAUAUCAGAUAAACGUGAGAUAUAUCAGACGAUAUAUUGGACAUCAGAUAAUUGUGAGAUAUAUCAGACGAUAUAUCGGACAUAUCAGAUAAGCGUGAGAUAUAUCAGACGAUAUAUUGGACAUAUCAGAUAAUUGUGAGAUAUAUCAGACAAUAUAUCGGACAUCAGAUAAUCAUGGUGAGAUAUAUCAGACGAUAUAUUGGACAUAUCAGAUAAGCGUGAGAUAUAUCAGACGAUAUAUUGGACAUAUCAGAUAAUUGUGAGAUAUAUCAGACGAUAUAUCGGACAUAUCAGAUAAGCGUGAGAUAUAUCAGACGAUAUAAUGGACAUAUCAGAUAAUUGUGAGAUAUAUCAGACGAUAUAUCGGACAUCAGAUAAUCAUGGUGAGAUAUAUCAGACGAUAUAUCGGACAUAUCAGAUAAUCAUGGUGGGAUAUAUCGGAGGAUAUAUCGGACAUAUCAGAUAAUCAUGGUGAGAUAUAUCAGACGAUAUAUCAGACAUAUCAGAUAAUCAUGGUGAGAUAUGUCAGACGAUAUAUUGGACAUAUCAGAUAAUUGUGAGAUAUAUCAGACGAUAUAUCGGACAUCAGAUAAUCAUGGUGAGAUAUAUCAGACGAUAUAUCGGACAUAUCAGAUAAGCGUGAGAUAUAUCAGACGAUAUAUUGGACAUAUCAGAUAAUUGUGAGAUAUAUCAGACGAUAUAUCGGACAUCAGAUAAUCAUGGUGAGAUAUAUCAGACGAUAUAUUGGACAUCAGAUAAUCAUGGUGAGAUAUAUCAGACGAUGUAUUACCUCACAAACACACAGAAUGCAUAGAUCUCAUAUGCAAAUGGUUUAUAUUUGAAUAUGUAUUCAAUAUGCUAAAUAUUUUGCGUAAGUGAAUGUACACAUUCCGAACAGAACUUCAGGACAGAACAAUGCCGCUGCUACAGGCUAACGCUCUCCAUAUGGAAGAGAUUGAUGUGUGCAUGCCGUGUGUGCUGCCUGUCUGUAUCAUAUAUAAAGGGUUAAUGAAAGGCCGUGCCUCGUCUCGGGUGUGUCUUUACCUUGGGUCAGGUAGAGCGCAGCGCCACAGGUGUUGCUUUAGCGUCUGCACCCAACCGAUAUCUCGGAUUGGCUGACAGAGCUGAAUGUAGUGCUGCUGUUUUAGCACGAGCCUUAAAAAAAAAAACAACCAAAAAAAAAAAAAAAAAACGAGACGAGAAAAAAGGCCACGGAUUAGCUACAUCAGAUUUCAAACCUCUCUCAUAACAUCGCGAAUAAAUCAUGCGAGUAAAUACACAUCGGAUUACUGGGAUGCGAGAAAAUCCUCCGUCAUGACAUCAUCACCUGAGUUCAGUAAUCUAGCAGUAACACUUAAUCUGUCGUUUUUACUGAAAAGAGGAGUGAAUCGAACGCCGCUAGCAUCCUUCAUUUAUCUGUACAGAUUGCUGAACUAUACUGAAUGAUCACGCUGGAUAUCGCUUAAUAAUACUUUAUAUCUUAGCGCAUGUAUCAGAUAUAUCGGACAGUGACUCGGAUGAUAUAUCGGAUUUAUGAACGCUCCCUCAGGAAUAAGAAGGCCGUGUGAAAGGAGGCUCGGGUUACAGACGACAUAAACAGAGGUGUGUUAAUAUUUAAUCAUUAAAUAACGCUGCCCUACUGGAGUUCUCUUCCAUGUGGAGUCACACACACACACACACACACACACACACACACACACACACACACAACACAACACGGACAGGAACACAAGACAAACAACAACAACAACACACUAUUGUUCACCUACCGUUUACUCCCAAACCCUCCAUGCUCCCGGGGAAGAGAGGGAUGAGGCAGGAAAGAGGGAAUGUGAAUGGGUAGAGGGGGUCGAACCGGAGACGGAGGAAAAUAGGAUGAGGCACGAAGAGGUGAAUACGAAGAGGAAGAAUGGGAAGCGCGGGAUAAUCAGGAAGGGAUUAAGGAAAUAGGAAGAGGGGCCAAACAGGAAGAGGGCAGGGAAUGUGAUGAACAGGUGUUUGGGAAGAAUGAGCAGAGGAAUGGAAAGUGACGAAGGAAUGAGAAGAGAGGAAAAGAGCAAGUAGGAAGUAAGGCCGGAUGGAAAGAAGGGGCGCAGAGGGGUGAAUAGAAGGACAGGGCGACUGGGAAGAUGGGGCAAAUGGGGUACAGAGGUGAAUAGGAAGUAAGGGGCAAACAGGAAAACAAAGCAGAGGGGGCUAAUGGGAAGAACGAGGUGAAGGGACGAGUGGGACGAGUUGGGAAGUGAAAAUAAGAAAAAAAAAGAGAGAGAUGAGUCAGUGGGGCGAGAGGAGAGAAAGAAGAGGGAAAGGAAAGAGAGAGAGAGAGAGAAGAGAGAGAAGAGAGGGAGCCCUCCCACCUCUCAAACAAAACAAAGCGAGACACUUCGGC